rnacentral:rRNA from 1 species
CAGGCUUAACACAUGCAAGUCGAGGGGCAGCAUUUUAGUUUGCUUGCAAACUGAAGAUGGCGACCGGCGCACGGGUGAGUAACACGUAUCCAACCUGCCGAUAACUCCGGAAUAGCCUUUCGAAAGAAAGAUUAAUACCGGAUAGCAUACGAAUAUCGCAUGAUAUUUUUAUUAAAGAAUUUCGGUUAUCGAUGGGGAUGCGUUCCAUUAGUUUGUUGGCGGGGUAACGGCCCACCAAGACAACGAUGGAUAGGGGUUCUGAGAGGAAGGUCCCCCACAUUGGAACUGAGACACGGUCCAAACUCCUACGGGAGGCAGCAGUGAGGAAUAUUGGUCAAUGGGCGAGAGCCUGAACCAGCCAAGUAGCGUGAAGGAUGAAGGCUCUAUGGGUCGUAAACUUCUUUUAUAUGGGAAUAAAGUUUUCCACGUGUGGAAUUUUGUAUGUACCAUAUGAAUAAGGAUCGGCUAACUCCGUGCCAGCAGCCGCGGUAAUACGGAGGAUCCGAGCGUUAUCCGGAUUUAUUGGGUUUAAAGGGAGCGUAGGUGGAUUGUUAAGUCAGUUGUGAAAGUUUGCGGCUCAACCGUAAAAUUGCAGUUGAAACUGGCAGUCUUGAGUACAGUAGAGGUGGGCGGAAUUCGUGGUGUAGCGGUGAAAUGCUUAGAUAUCACGAAGAACUCCGAUUGCGAAGGCAGCUCACUAGACUGUCACUGACACUGAUGCUCGAAAGUGUGGGUAUCAAACAGGAUUAGAUACCCUGGUAGUCCACACAGUAAACGAUGAAUACUCGCUGUUUGCGAUAUACAGUAAGCGGCCAAGCGAAAGCAUUAAGUAUUCCACCUGGGGAGUCCGCCGGCAACGGUGAAACUCAAAGGAAUUGACGGGGGCCCGCACAAGCGGAGGAACAUGUGGUUUAAUUCGAUGAUACGCGAGGAACCUUACCCGGGCUUAAAUUGCAACAGAAUAUAUUGGAAACAGUAUAGCCGUAAGGCUGUUGUGAAGGUGCUGCAUGGUUGUCGUCAGCUCGUGCCGUGAGGUGUCGGCUUAAGUGCCAUAACGAGCGCAACCCUUAUCUUUAGUUACUAACAGGUGAUGCUGAGGACUCUAGAGAGACUGCCGUCGUAAGAUGUGAGGAAGGUGGGGAUGACGUCAAAUCAGCACGGCCCUUACGUCCGGGGCUACACACGUGUUACAAUGGGGGGUACAGAAGGCGGCUACCUGGUGACAGGAUGCUAAUCCCAAAAACCUCUCUCAGUUCGGAUCGAAGUCUGCAACCCGACUUCGUGAAGCUGGAUUCGCUAGUAAUCGCGCAUCAGCCAUGGCGCGGUGAAUACGUUCCCGGGCCUUGUACACACCGCCCGUCAAGCCAUGAAAGCCGGGGGUACCUGAAGUACGUAACCGCAAGGAGCGUCCUAGGGUAAAACUGGUAAUUGG